rnacentral:ncRNA from 1 species
ACAUUGAAAUAAGCAAACAGUUUGAUGGCCGUGAGCGACCUGAUCUAGUCAUAUAGUUAGAUGGGUGCCAAUUUUCCGCAAUGGGCGAAAGCCUGACGGAGCAAUGCCGCAUGGAGGUGGAAGGCCUACGGGUCGUCAACUUCUUUUCUCGGAGAAGAAACAAUGACGGUAUCUGAGGAAUAAACAUCGGCUAACUCUGUGCCAGCAGCCGCGGUAAGACAGAGGAUGCAAGCGUUAUCUGGAAUGAUUGGGCGUAAAGCAUCUGUAGGUGGCUUUUCAAGUGCGCCGUCAAAUCCCAGGGCUCAACCCGGGACAGGCGGUGGAAACUACCAAGCUGGAGUACGGUAGGGGUAGAGGGAAUUUCUGGUAGAGCGGUGAAAUGCACUGAGAUCGGAAAGAACACCAACGGCGAAAGCACUCUGCUGGGCCUACACUGACACUGAGAGAUGAAAGCUAGGGGAGCAAAUGGGAUUAGAGACCCCAGUAGUCCUAGCCGUAAACGAUGGAUACUAGGUGCUGUGCGACUCGACCCAUGCAGUGUUGUAGCUACACUAGUGCAGAACAGGGCAAUAGCACCGGUUCGUAAGGCCCUUUAGUGCCGGUUCCAUAACCGGCACUAAAGUGUGAGCACUAAAAGCCCCCCCCCCCUUAGUACCGGUUCA